UACGAAGGGGGCUAGCGUUGCUCGGAAUCACUGGGCGUAAAGCGCACGUAGGCGGCUUUUUAAGUCAGGGGUGAAAUCCUCGGAGCUCAACUCCAGAACUGCCUUUGAUACUGAGAAGCUUGAGUCCGGGAGAGGUGAGUGGAACUGCGAGUGUAGAGGUGAAAUUCGUAGAUAUUCGCAAGAACACCAGUGGCGAAGGCGGCUCACUGGCCCGGUACUGACGCUGAGGUGCGAAAGCGUGGGGAGCAAACAGG
rnacentral:rRNA from 1 species